CUGUCCCUGGGGUGUUUGCCAGUCGGUGAUGUCCCUGAGCCGAUACUCCUGUAGAAGGAGGCCACGCGUUGCUGCCAGUGUGCAUGUCCGCAUGACGGAAAGCCUGAGGCAGUGCCGUGUCCCCCACCUUGAACUUUCGGGUUCAAGGGCUAACCCGACAGCGGCAUUUCCGGGGACUCU
rnacentral:other from 2 species